CACCACUUUUCCUUUCUUGCACGGAUCCAAGGAAAGGUGUCAAGAUAAGUCAAUGGGUGAAGGACAGAUUUUUCAACAACAGAUGAUGGAAGAACUGAAUGUUCAUACAGAAAAAUGUGACCCUGAACCUUUACCCUACGUUUCAAGAAGAUUAGAGACCUAAAUGUAAGAGUGAAAGCUAUAUAACUAGUGGAACAAAACAGUGUAAAUCAUCGUAACCUCAGAACAGUUGCAACUUAAUACUGGGAAGACUUUCAGAAGAAUUUCAUCAAAUAAUAAGCAGAUUAUUCAGAGAUCCAUAAUGAUAUCUUUAGACCCAAGUACAGAGGCACUUUCUUGGAAUGAUUGCAAUGGAAGAGAGAUUCGGAACGGACAAUAAAUAUUUUUAUAAUUUUAAAUAACAGUAUCAUAAAUAUAUUGGUUAGUGAAU
rnacentral:lncRNA from 1 species